GCUGCUGAGACUGAGCUGUUUGGCGCUGGUAGUGUAGGUCGCAUCCCUCCGUCCGCCUUUCUGCUUCUUUUGGUGAGAGCAAGUGUGCCCUUGUGGAAAUCGCUCAUCCUCAAGCCUCCGAACGAAGUCCUCCCAGCCUGCGCAGAAGAGGGUAGGCAGCUCCAGAAGUGGAAGGCGCAGACUCCAGCUAGCGGGCGCUGAAACGCCUCUUUGGGCAGAGCUGAGCGAGUGCUCUCCAGGAGUUCCAGCUGGCCGAGCUUCGUUAAUUCCUUCGCGUUUUCCUGUCAUUUGCGUGCGGCCUUUUCCCGAGCUCUUCUGGAGUCGCGGGCCUUAUCAGAGCUGGACCGGUACUUGAAGUCACUUUCUUUUAAAGUAAAAAAAUUGCCUUCCUCUGCCAGAAGACCUAACCAAUGGUGAGCACUUCGGCUCCAACCUGAGACACAAGUCCGUGGGGGGAGGCGGAGGGGAAAGCAGCUAAUUUGUGGUUCAGGAUCAGGCAGGACAAGUACUUGGAAGAGUAGACACCAGAAUCCCAUGCCUGAACCAUGGUAAGGACGUUGUCUCCUUAAAAGUUUCAGGUGGGCGUUUGGCCAUCCAACCAGACUCCACCUUCCCACGUUUCUGGCAGCUAGUUAUGGAUUUGUGAUUAUAUAAUAGUCAAUGGGAAUUGAAUGAGAGGAAUGUGUUGCCACUUAGGCAGUGUCAUGAAAAGUAUGGACAUGACUUUCCCUUCUCUGCUGAGAGGCGAGUAUGGCAACAGCCACCUUGAACUCAGAAAUGGAAGAAUUGUGAGGAUGCCAGAGCCACCUCCCAGCUGUGGAAUAUCUAGCUCUGUAGAAUGAGAGAAAAAUAAACAUCGUCUUGUUUAAGCUGC